AGAAACAGCCCAGAACUUCAUAUAAAUUGUCCAGUGCUACAUCAACCCGUGAAUUAGUAUUCAUGGCCUCGCCCACCUCGGCUCGAGACCACCCACAGGCAGCGCUGAAGCCGGGCAGAGACGCUGCCUUGUCAGAUAGGAGCUAACAGCGCUAGAAACAGUAUGCAGUUCAUUCCUGUGUUAUUUGUGCGAAUAACACAUCAGUUUUUUUAUACUUUACCCAGUAAUUCAGAGCUAAGAAACAAAUGGUUAGAAUUUGUCUAUGGAGGAAAAACACCACCAGCCAAGUACAAAUGAGAUUGAGGUAGGUGUAUGUUUAGAUCAGUUCUGUUUACACUAGUUAAAAGUAAAAAUACACCCCGGAGUGUUGUGUCAACUGCCUGGGCGGCUCUGCUGCGGCUCAGCAAACAAAACCCUGAGGUGGAUUUUAACUUUCUAGACCUGGUCUACCCAUCUCUGUGUGUAAUUAACUAUAGGUUUAAAUAGGAUCUCCAGUGGAUUUGGUGUUUUACAGAGACUCUAAGACUAGGUCAGUGGCUGAAGUGCACUUAGCAGGGUAUUAUUACACAUGUUGUGAAGUAACAUAUUACAUUGCAAAAACUUAGUUAUUAGUGUAAAAAUGUCUUUAUUUUACAACAUUUCUAACUGUUAUCAGUCUCGCUGCCUCCUGGCGUCAAAGAGCUGUAAGCCAAUCAGAGACGAUAUGUUUGCAUGUAUGAAUAUUCAUGAGCAAGAGCUGAAAUCCUAUUAACACCCCCUACUCCUCCAAAGUACUAAAGCAGCGUUAUACCGGAUCACCUGAGCUGUUUUUUUUUUUUUUUUUUUUUUUUUUUUUUUUUUUGUUUGUUUGUUUUUUUACUGAAAACAGCUCACAAUGCAUUUAUUCAUACUAUAGACCAGAACUAGACAUUUUAAAAUGAAUGAAAAAUGAGACCUCUGGGAGAACUAAGGUUAGCAGAGAGCUAGCUAAUGAUACCAGAUAGAGAACUAAGAUUAGUGAAGAGCUAGCUAAUGAUACCAGAUAGAGAACUAAGGUUAGCGAAGAGCUAGCUAAUAAUACCAGAUAGAGAACUAAGGUUAGCGAAGAGCUAGCUAAUAAUACCAGAUAGAGAACUAAGAUUAGCGAAGAGCUAGCUAAUGAUACCAGAUAGAGAACUAAGGUUAGCGGGAGCUAGCUAAUGAUACCAGAUAGAGAACUAAGGUUAGCAAAGAGCUAGCUAAUGAUACCAGACAGAGAACUAAGAUUAGCGAAGAGCUAGCUAAUGAUACCAGAUAGAGAACUAAGGUUAGCGGGAGCUAGCUAAUGAUACCAGAUAGAGAACUAAGGUUAGCAAAGAGCUAGCUAAUGAUACCAGACAGAGAACUAAGGUUAGCGGAGAGCUAGCUAAUGAUGCCAGAUAGAGAACUAAGAUUAGCGAAGAGCUAGCUAAUGAUACCAGAUAGAGAACUAAGGUUAGCAGAGAGCUAGCUAAUGAUACCAGAUAGAGAACUAAUAUUAGUGAAGAGCUAGCUAAUGAUACCAGAUAGAGAACUAAGAUUAGCGAAGAGCUAGCUAAUGAUGCCAGAUAGAGAACUAAGGUUAGCGGGAGCUAGCUAAUGAUACCAGAUAGAGAACUAAGGUUAGCGGAGAGCUAGCUAAUGAUACCAGAUAGAGAACUAAGGUUAGCGGAGAGCUAGCUAAUGAUACCAGAUAGAGAACUGAGGUUAGCGGAGAGCUAGCUAAUGAUACCAGAUAGAGAACUGAGGUUAGCGGAGAGCUAGCUAAUGAUACCAGAUAGAGAACUAAGGUUAGCGGAGAGCUAGCUAAUGAUACCAGAUAGAGAACUGAGGUUAGCGGAGAGAUAGCUAAUGAUUCCAGAUAGAGAACUAAUGUUAGCAAAGAGCUAGCUAAUGAUACCAGAUAGAGAACUAAUGUUAGCAAAGAGCUAGCUAAUGAUACCAGAUAGAGAACUAAUGUUAGCGAAGAGCUAGCUAACACUACCGAGGAGAGAACUAUGGUUGCCAAAGAAAUUUGACUACAUUUUUGGGUUUAAAUUAUAUUUACUGAGGUCUUAAAAAGGUUUUAAAAUGCAUUAAAUUGGACUUUUAAAAUGGUCCAGGAACCCUGAAUAACCCUGAAUCCUGUCUUUCUC